rnacentral:rRNA from 1 species
AUUGAACGCUGGCGGCGGGCCUAACACAUGCAAGUCGAACGAGUGGCGGACGGGUGCGUAAUGUCUGGGAAACUGCCUGAUGGAGGGGGAUAACUACUGGAAAAGUUAGCUAAUCCCGCAUACCAUCAGAUGUGCCCAGAUGGGAUUAGCUUGUUGGUGGGGUAACGGCUCACCAAGGCGACGAUCCCUAGCUGGUCGGAGAGGAUGACCAGCCAAACUGUAACGUGGACACGGUCCAGACUCCUACGUGAGGAAGCAGUGGGGAAUAUUGGACAAUGGGCGAAAGCCGGAUGCAGCCAUGCCGCGUGUAUGAAGAAGGCCUUCGGGUUGUAAAUUACUUGCAGCGGGGAGGCGUUACCCGCAGAAGAAGCACCGGCUAACUCCGUGCCAGCAGCCGCGGUAAUAC